UACAGAGGUCUCAAGCGUUGUUCGGAAUUACUGGGCGUAAAGGGUGCGCAGGCCGCGCGGGCAGUCAAAUGUGUAAUUCAGGGGCUCAACCCCUGCACUGCGCUUGAUACUUCCGCGCUCGAGCUUUGGAGAGGAGUCUGGAAUUCUCGGUGUAGCAGUGAAAUGCGUGGAUAUCGAAGAAGAACACUUAGGGCGUAGGCAAGACUCU
rnacentral:rRNA from 1 species